GAUGAAGAACGCAGCGAAAUGCGAUAAGUAAUGUGAAUUGCAGAAUUCAGUGAAUCAUCGAAUCUUUGAACGCACCUUGCACCCUUUGGCAUUCCGAAGGGUAUGCUCGUUUGAGUGUCAUUGUACUCUCACACUUCCGAUCUUUGGAUUGGGAGCGGUGGACUUGGGUGUUGCUGCUUACUGUGGCUCACCUCAAAUCGAUUCGUGCACCUCUUGGUUGGACAUAGUACGGCGUGAUAAGUGUCUUCGCCGGCACCUCAGUAGAGGGUGGCUGAUCGGGAGCUCUGCUUCAAACCGUCCUCGGACAACAACUGACAACUUGACCUCAAAUCGAGUAGGACUACCCGCUGAACUUAAGCAUAUCAAUAAGCGGAGGA
rnacentral:misc_RNA from 1 species